AGAAGGGAGUCUAACGGUGGGGUUGAGGGUGGGUUUUUAUAGGCUGAUUUCGGUGUACUAUGGGGAAUUAAAUGAGGCUGACCUCGUUUGGUUUCUUUCCCAGCAUAUCUCUUGUUUUUGAUCCUCAAUGCAGCCUUCUACUUGACACAUUUUGGUGUUACUUGGAGUACUAGGUGUUUGACUAAUUAAUUUAACUUGUUCUCACAUGCUCUCUUAGUACUUUAGUUCAUAAUUCUAUUUGUUUGCAAGCUGCAGGAAAUCUCUUACUUCCUUGAUCUCCACUACUUUUGAUCAAAGAAAUUUGGUGUUUUGCUUAGGACAAAGGACUUCUCAUUUACUUAUUUUGGUGGUUUGUGUGACUAGGAAAGGCUGGUGUGUACUUAGCUAUUAACUUCCAUUGUUUGCUUGUGGCUGGUGAGAAAACAGGUGCUGCAUUAGUGUGGAGGAUUUGCAGGAUGGACUUGCCUCUUUUGGGUAAGUCUUUGGUCUUCCAACUAAAGAGAGGUUGUCUCCUUCCUCAUGGUUGGGAAAGGGCUUGGGCUGCCAAGCUGCUGUCCGAGACGGGCUUGAUGCCUCGGGCCCAACGGGCUGAUCGGAUACGGGCCGCGACUUUCGGCCCGGAGAAGAGGCCCGAUGCCAUUUGUUCCAUGCACAUUUUAUCUUUUUAGUUGUUCAUUUUAUUGCCUAUGUAACACUAUUCGAAAAUUCGUGAUAUUCUACAACGUAUUUCCAAUUGUUUA